UGUGUUUUCAGUACUGCAGCUUGUUUGACAACAGCUCUGUCCUUUGCAGGUAUUCUGCUGGACUUGCUUACCUUCAUUUUCAGUUUUUGCUUAUGCUAGCCAUUUGUGAGUGUCUCUCCUUCAUAGCCAAUGUUUACUGUUCAGGGAAAAAGAGUGUAAUGCUUCUGAUGCAUCCUGCUUUUCCUACAUGCAGCAGUGAAUGGCACCAUGACUGUCAGAUUAGAAACUAAAAAGUGUUCUAAAGGCAGCAGGAGUGCCUUUGUGGCCUGGAGAAGAAAGCAGAGCAAAAUGCUCAUGAGAAUUUGGACUACACCUGAAAUGGUGAAGAAAGAAAUGAGGUGUGCCACAUAAAGUAUGACCCAGUAAUGAAUGAGCUGCCAGACAAAUUGACACAAAAGGUGAUCCUCUUGCACUAAUUUUUCUGAGCUAUUGAAUUUAAUA
rnacentral:lncRNA from 1 species